AGUUUUUUUGUGUUUUAUGGUCCAUGAAUUUUAGUGUUUUUGACUUGAUUAGCAUUAUUCCACGAAUCGAUGUUUAAUUAAUAAUCCGCGAUGACAAUACAAUCGAAUCUUAUCGAUUCCCCUGAAAUUAGCGAGCUCUGCAUUCUAUGGCCAUAGCCUCCUCCUUCUCGUUCCCUUUGGAUCUACACCGCCAUCGCCUUCUUCCGCGCCACUUCAUACACCAUCGAUCUUUUCCCGCUCUGCCCAUUUCUUCGUACCCAUUUCCCCUUUUGCUCAAAACUCAGAAUCAGUUCUUCAAAACCUCAUCCGCUCCCCUUCGUUCAUCGCCCACGACAUUGGAUUCUUCGCUUCUCGAAGACCCACUUCGGACUGGUCGAUUUCUGACCGACGAUGAGUACGAGAGGCUCAAGUUUCUUGGGGAUUUUGAGUAUUUCCAGGAAUUGGAAUCUGGGUCGAUGUGGGUUCGGGUUAUGAGGGAUUGUGAACUUGAUGCCACUGUUGGGUUGCUAGCGGAGUCAUUUGCGGAGUCCAUGUUCUGGCCUUCUGGCUAUAUUUCUUUGCUGAGAUUUUUGGUGAAACAGUAUUUGAUUGAACGAAGGGCCUUGAUGCCCCAUGCCGCUACACUUAUUGGGUUUUAUAAAGGCAAAAAUGGGGAAGAAGAGGAGGCUGAAGAGCUGGCCGGCACAGUGGAGGUGUCCUUUGACAAGCGAGGUGCCAAUGCAUCUCCCCCCACUCCUACACCUCCCAAGGAUUCGCCUUACAUAUGCAACAUGACUGUUAAAAAGGAGCUUCGGAGGAGGGGUAUUGGGUGGCAUCUUUUGAAGGCUGGUGAGGAAUUGAUCUCACAAAUGAGUACCUCAAGGGAGGUGUUCCUGCAUUGUAGAAUGAUUGACACAGCUCCUUUCAAUAUGUAUACAAAAGCUGGCUACACCGUUGUGCAGACGGAUACCAUAAUAAGCUUGUUGAUGCUGCAGAGGCGCAAGCACUUGAUGUGCAAGGAGCUUCCUGCCAUCACCAUGCGCAGUCCUGAGUCAGAUGCACCAUUUUCUGUUGAGGAAUGAAUUUGCUAUUUGCAUAGACAAAUUGUUCCACGUUCUGCUGAGUCUCUUAUCAGAUGCUGGAAGUCGUUAAUCCGGGAAAUGAAGUAACGACAGUGAAGAUUUAGAUGAUAUUUUAUAUAGAUAAAGAAUCUUGUAGAUGCACUUACAGCAGCCGGUGGAAAGAUCAUUCAUGAUGAUCAUGAGCCGGAUUGGGAGCUGAAUUAGAUCCUACAGGAAAAAGUAUAUGUGCUAUGUUGCUUACUCAGGAGAGAUAUGCUAUGCAGCAAAGCUUUUAUGCAGGAGAGGCGACGAAGAAGACGAACCUUCCCCCGUUCUAAUCGUGUUAAAUUAUGCAGCAAACGUGGGAUCUUUCCAAUGGUCAAAUUCUUGGUGGCUGAGACAUCCUCGUUGUCGUCUACCGUUGACCCGACAGCAAGCACGCUUUCGAUUGAGCUCUAAACCAUUCUGCUGCCUCGUCCAAUUAUAAAUCCCCCAGAACCUUGUCUCACACAAUCAAAUCAAAUGAAUUGGUUUAUGAGUACAGCCAGCGGCUAAUGGAGUAGCUUGCGGUUGAUGUCUUUGAGAUGGUUGUGGUGAGAUGUAUGGAAGGUUAUUUAUAAGGAACCAGUGAAGUAUGAAGCCUGUCACCUGUUGCUGUUGCUGGCUGUUGUUAUGGGUGCUACUAGCAGAUAUUGUCUAUUAAUUCGUUACGUAUCGUCGUCAGUCUCAUAAUUUUAAAACGUGUCUAUUAGGGAGAGGUUUCUACGC